GACGAACGCUGGCGGCGUGCUUAACACAUGCAAGUCGAACGGAAAGGCCCUGCUUUUGUGGGGUGCUCGAGUGGCGAACGGGUGAGUAACACGUGAGUAACCUGCCCUUGACUUUGGGAUAACUUCAGGAAACUGGGGCUAAUACCGGAUAGGAGCUCCUGCUGCAUGGUGGGGGUUGGAAAGUUUCGGCGGUUGGGGAUGGACUCGCGGCUUAUCAGCUUGUUGGUGGGGUAGUGGCUUACCAAGGCUUUGACGGGUAGCCGGCCUGAGAGGGUGACCGGCCACAUUGGGACUGAGAUACGGCCCAGACUCCUACGGGAGGCAGCAGUGGGGAAUAUUGCACAAUGGGCGGAAGCCUGAUGCAGCAACGCCGCGUGCGGGAUGACGGCCUUCGGGUUGUAAACCGCUUUCGCCUGUGACGAAGCGUGAGUGACGGUAAUGGGUAAAGAAGCACCGGCUAACUACGUGCCAGCAGCCGCGGUGAUACGUAGGGUGCGAGCGUUGUCCGGAUUUAUUGGGCGUAAAGGGCUCGUAGGUGGUUGAUCGCGUCGGAAGUGUAAUCUUGGGGCUUAACCCUGAGCGUGCUUUCGAUACGGGUUGACUUGAGGAAGGUAGGGGAGAAUGGAAUUCCUGGUGGGAGCGGUGGAAUGCGCAGAUAUCAGGAGGAACACCAGUGGCGAAGGCGGUUCUCUGGGCCUUUCCUGACGCUGAGGAGCGAAAGCGUGGGGAGCGAACAGGCUUAGAUACCCUGGUAGUCCACGCUGUAAACGGUGGGUACUAGGUGUGGGGUCCAUUCCACGGGUUCCGUGCCGUAGCUAACGCUUUAAGUACCCCGCCUGGGGAGUACGGCCGCAAGGCUAAAACUCAAAGGAAUUGACGGGGCCCCGCACAAGCGGCGGAGCAUGCGGAUUAAUUCGAUGCAACGCGUAGAACCUUACCUGGGUUUGACAUGGAUCGGGAGUGCUCAGAGAUGGGUGUGCCUCUUUUGGGGUCGGUUCACAGGUGGUGCAUGGCUGUCGUCAGCUCGUGUCGUGAGAUGUUGGGUUAAGUCCCGCAACGAGCGCAACCCUUGUUCACUGUUGCCAGCACGUUAUGGUGGGGACUCAGUGGAGACCGCCGGGGUCAACUCGGAGGAAGGUGGGGAUGACGUCAAGUCAUCAUGCCCCUUAUGUCCAGGGCUUCACGCAUGCUACAAUGGCUGGUACAGAGAGUGGCGAGCCUGUGAGGGUGAGCGAAUCUCGGAAAGCCGGUCUCAGUUCGGAUUGGGGUCUGCAACUCGACCUCAUGAAGUCGGAGUCGCUAGUAAUCGCAGAUCAGCAACGCUGCGGUGAAUACGUUCCCGGG
rnacentral:rRNA from 1 species